GUGGGGAAUAUUGCACAAUGGGGGGAACCCUGAUGCAGCGACGCCGCGUGAGGGAAGAAGGUUUUCGGAUUGUAAACCUCUGUCCUUGGUGACGAUAAUGACGGUAGCCAAGGAGGAAGCCACGGCUAACUACGUGCCAGCAGCCGCGGUAAUACGUAGGUGGCAAGCGUUGUCCGGAAUUACUGGGUGUAAAGGGAGCGUAGGCGGGAAGACAAGUUGGGAGUGAAAUGUAUGGGCUUAACCCAUAAACUGCUUUCAAAACUGUUUUUCUUGAGUGAAGUAGAGGCAGGCGGAAUUCCUAGUGUAGCGGUGAAAUGCGUAAAUAUUAGGAGGAACACCAGUGGCGAAGGCGGCCUGCUGGGCUUUAACUGACGCUGAGGCUCGAAAGCGUGGGUAGCAAACAGGAUUAGAAACCCUAGUAGUCC
rnacentral:rRNA from 1 species